AUUGAACGCUGGCGGCAGGCCUAACACAUGCAAGUCGAACGAGUGGCGGACGGGUGAGUAAUGUCUGGGAAACUGCCUGAUGGAGGGGGAUAACUACUGGAAACGGUAGCUAAUAACGCAUACCAUCGGAUGUGCCCAGAUGGGAUUAGCUAGUAGGUGGGGUAAAGGCUCACCUAGGCGACGCGCCCGAGCUGGUCUGAGUGGAUGACCAGGCACACUGGAACUGAGACACGGUCCAGACUCCGACGGUAGGCAGCAGUGGGGAAUAUUGCACAAUGGGCGCAAGCCUGAUGCAGCCAUGACGCGUGUAUGAAGAAGGCCUUCGGGUUGUAAAGUACUGUCAGCGGGGAGGCGUUACCCGCAGAAGAAGCACCGGCUAACGCCGUGCCAGCAGCCGCGGUAAUAC
rnacentral:rRNA from 1 species